GAGAAGCCCAUGAAACAAGCAGAAAACUUCAUUUUGGAUGAGACAAAAUGUACCAUCUGAUCCCAAGCAGUGGUGAGGGCAGACAGGAUGAUAGCUGCCUUCAUGUGAAACUGGAGCUACAUCCAGGAAUGGUAUUUAUAUGCACGGAUGUAGCUUUCAAUCAGGAUGAUGUAAACACUGCUGCAGAAUUUUUUGACCAGGCUGUUUGGGAAACAUGAUGGAUUAAAUAUGACAAAC